rnacentral:tRNA from 1 species
GCCUGGAUGGCUCAGUUAAGUGUCUGACUUCGGCUCAGGUCAUGAUCUCAUGGUUUGUGGGUUCGAGCCCCAUGUCAGGCU